GACGAACGCUGGCGGCGUGCUUAACACAUGCAAGUCGAACGAAGUGGCGAACGGGUGAGUAACGCGUAAUCAACCUGCCCUUCAGAGGGGGACAACAGUUGGAAACGACUGCUACUACCGCAUACGGACUGCGGGGAUCGCGUCGGAUUAGCUAGUUGGAGGGGGAACGGCCCACCCAGGCGAUGAUCAGCAGCCGGUCUGAGAGGAUGAACGGCCACAUUGGGACGGAGACACGGCCCAGACUCCUACGGUAGGCAGCAGUGGGGAAUCUGCCGCAAUGGACGAAAGUCUGACGGAGCAACGCCGCGUGAGUGAUGACGUCCUUCGGGUUGUAAAGCUCUGUUAAUCGGGACGCGGUACCGGAAUAGAAAGCCACGGCUAACUACGUGCCAGCAGCCGCGGUAAUUC
rnacentral:rRNA from 1 species